rnacentral:rRNA from 1 species
UGCCAGCAGCCGCGGUAAUACGGAAGGUCCUAGCGUUGUUCGGAAUUACUGGGCGUAAAGCGCAUGUAGGCGGAACAGAAAGUUAGAAGUGAAAUCCCUGGGCUCAACCUAGGAAUUGCUUUUAAAACUUCUGUUCUGGAAUUCAGGAGAGGAAAAUGGAAUAUCCAGUGUAGAGGUGAAAUUCGUAGAUAUUGGAUGGAACACCAGUGGCGAAGGCGAUUUUCUGGACUGAUAUUGACGCUGGGAUGCGAAGGCAAGGGUACCCAACGUGAUUACACA